UGAGUACGAGCUGCUACGGCAGCGAAGUGGGUGAUGUCAAGCUUCCAAGAAAAGCCCUAUACCCGUUAAGGCAUGACGGCCUGUACCCGAAACCGACACAGGUGGGGUGGUAGAGAAUACCGAGGGGCGCGAGAUGACUCUCUCUAAGGAACUCGGCAAAAUGGCCCCGUAACUUCGGGAGAAGGGGUGCCACCGCAAGGUGGUCGCAGUGAAGAGGCCCAGGCGACUGUUUACCAAAAACACAGGUCUCCGCUAAGUCGCAAGACGAUGUAUGGGGGCUGACGCCUGCCCAGUGCCGGAAGGUUAAGGAAGCUGGUCAGCGCAAGCGAAGCUAGCGACUGAAGCCCCGGUGAACGGCGGCCGUAACUAUAACGGUCCUAAGGUAGCGAAAUUCCUUGUCGGGCAAGUUCCGACCCGCACGAAAGGCGUAACGAUCUGGGCGCUGUCUCGGAGAGAGGCUCGGCGAAAUAGAAUUGUCUGUGAAGAUGCGGACUACGUGCACCCGGACAGAAAGACCCUAUGAAGCUUUACUGUAGCUUGGUAUUGUGCCCGGGCUCUGAAUGCGCAGGAUAGGUGGGAGGCUUUGAUCCAUUGCUUGUGGGUAAUGGUGAGCCACUGGUGAGAUACCACUCUUUCAGAGCUAGGGUUCUAACGGUCACCCGUUAUCCGGGGACCGGACAGUAUCAGGUGGGCAGUUUGACUGGGGCGGUCGCCUCCUAAAAGGUAACGGAGGCGCGCAAGGUUCCCUCAGGCUGGUUGGAAAUCAGCCGACGAGUGUAAAGGCAGAAGGGAGCUUGACUGUGAGACCUACAAGUCGAACAGGGACGAAAGUCGGCCUUAGUGAUCCGACGGUUCUGAGUGGAAGGGCCGUCGCUCAACGGAUAAAAGUUACUCUAAGGAUAACAGGCUGAUCUCCCCCAAGAGUUCACAUCGACGGGGAGGUUUGGCACCUCGAUGUCGGCUCAUCGCAACCUGGGGCUGAAGUCGGUCCCAAGGGUUGGGCUGUUCGCCCAUUAAAGCGGUACGCGAGCUGGGUUCAGAACGUCGUGAGACAGUUCGGUCCAUAUCCGGUGCACGCGCAGGAACAUUGAGAGGAUUUCUCCCUAGUACGAGAGGACCGGGAGGAACGCACCUCUGGUGUACCAGUUAUCGUGCCAACGGUAAACGCUGGGUAGCCAUGUGCGGAGCGGAUAACCGCUGAAAGCAUCUAAGUGGGAAGCCCACCUCAAGAUGAGUGUUCCCAUGGCAUAAGCCAGUAAGGUCACGGGAAGAACACCCGUUGAUAGGCUCUACGUGGAAGCGUGGCAACACGUGAAGCGGAGGAGUACUAAUAGACCGAGGGCUUGACC
rnacentral:rRNA from 1 species